rnacentral:lncRNA from 1 species
UCUUUGUAGGAAUUAUUUGAAAUUAUUCUACUUAUAUAGACAAUGGUGUAUUUUAUGUCUUUCCGCAAUACAUCCCAUGAAAACAGGGACCUUGCCUGUCUUAUUACUACUCUAUUUGCUGCCUAGAACAGUGCCAGGUGCAUAGAAAGAGCUCAAUAAAACUCUGUAAAAUCGCAUUGCUAAUUCUUUAGUAAUAAAAAAUUUACCACAGUAGCCCCUAGCAUACUGCCCUUCUGGAUUCAAGGUGAGCUCUUUUUAUUUUUUUCUUUUCUUUAAACAAACCAUAAGUAUUUACUUUGAAGAUGAAAAAUUCCAUGGGAAAAUGAUAGUGGUUGUCAUAAUUUCAAUUAGAUCACGAAUAUCCAAUUUGUUUCAAGUUGUUUGAUACUGAUCUGGAGGAAAUACAGAUCUUUUUAAAUAUAACAAUAUAGGAAAUCAUAUGAAUUGAAGUAGAAUAAAUUAUCUCCAUAUAACUUUAAAAUUGGAAUGAAAAUAAAUUUUAACAUUGAUUUAGCAAGAAGUAUUAUCAAGAGAAAAGCUAUAAUAUCUUUAGAAAGUCAAUGGCAGGUAUCAAUUUAAAAUACCAAAUACCAUAACUAGUAAUGCUUUUUGUAAUGUAUUGAAAGAAACCUAAGUUAGGCAAUAAUAUUGAUGAUGAAUAUUAUGAUUAUAACAGCCGAUACUAAAUAAAUGCUUGUUAUAUUGUAGGCAUUGCCCCAAAAACUUUACAUUUAUUAUUCCGGCUGAUAAUUUAAUGUGAAACAAAUAAUCGAUUUCCCUCCAAUUGCUCAACUCUCUAGAUCUCAGAAGAUAUCCAAUCCUGUCUAUAGGAUGCAACAUAAAAUUGUCACCUCAUUGGAUUGGAGGUGCUGUCCUGGAUACAGUGGGCCGAAAUGUCAACUAAGAGGUACACUCUAAUAUUAAUAAUCACAAUUCUGAACAAUAAGAAACUGAUUCUAUUGAAGAAAAGAAUAGCAUUUCCCCUUUUGAACCAAGGUAAAUUAACAUGUAGCCAAACUCCUAGGACUGUUAUACUUUCUAAGCUUUCUAACUUGGUAGCUUUUAUAACACUCUGAAAUCUCAUAAGCUAUUCUUUAACUUCUCCCCCCAUUUUUAUGUUGGAUUUAUAUGAUGAGCAAAUGGAAAUCUGAUGAAAGAUCUUACUUAUUCUUAACAACAAGCUAUAGAGGCAUGCCUUAUUAAAAUAUCAGGAAUGCUAAUUUUCAAUUUUUAAAUAAAGUGUUAUUAGAAGUGACUCAAUAUAAAAAUAAGACUACCAUCUAGUUUUGUUCCAGUUCAGUUAUUUGAAAUAAUGUGCAUAUGAAUGAAAUUUAGUAUUAAAGGACAUACAAGGUAUGUCAUGAAUAAUUCUCUCUUUUUCAAAAUUCUAAUGGAGCUAUUUUUUUUUUUUCAGCUGAGGUUUUAAGGACUUUCUGGUGGCAAGGCUGAUCAAACACAUGGUAACCCGCUGUGGCCUAAUAUCCAUGUGACUAUUAUUUUGCUUUUGGCUUUAAACAGGUUUCCUUUGAAAAAUAAGAUACAGCAUCAGCAUACAUAUUUUAAAUGAAUGAAUAUUACAAGAAAGGCCAUUAGCAGUGGUGGGGAAUUCAAUCAACAGUAUAAGAGACUGUGAUUAAAAAUUAAUAAAACUGUGGAGAAACCGUUAUGGCUCACAUUAAGAAAAAGAAAAUUAUAAUACAAAAGCUCUAGGAAUCCUGCAUUUUAGUUAGGGAUAUUAUUUAUGGUUUUACUAGCCUAUACAAUGAGAAUCUACAGGCAAAUUUCACCAUAAUGCUAUUUGUUCUGGGUCUGGCCU